UCUAGCUAGUUAUAAUAUUUGUGAAGAAUUUUUUUUUGUUUAUAGAGAGAAAUACAAAAAUUCUAAGCCUCAAGCGAAAAGAAGAUUUUGGCCCAUUAAAAUAAAAUUUUGAAAAUCAGAGAUAUAUAAAUAAAGCAAUAUCUAUAUCUAUCUAUAUAAAAAUAUGUUUCUCUCCUUCUUAAGCAUGCCACAUGGAAUUCUAUGUCAUAAACUCAGAGCAUCAGAAGCUGACACGUAGCCAGUUAUUUUCGCGUUUUCUUUCUUUCGUUUAGUUCUUGGGCCAUAACGAUAAUGUUUCUUCUUCUUCUUUUAUGGGCUUUUAAUGAGUUGUUGCUUUGUGACCUACAAAUAAUAUUAAUUGGGCUUCACAUAACAUAAAGAAAAUAUUAAUCUAAAUAGUUGGGCUUCACAUAAAAGACAAAAAUAUAUCUCAAUUUUCAUUUUUCUUCGAUAGUCUCCACUGCAGAUUCUAGGGUUCACGUAUCUGCUUACGUCAGGCUACCAUGGAGGUUCUAGAGUGUUGUCCGAGACAAAUAUUCGUUUGGAUACUUUGUGUCGAUUGCCGUUCCUGUAGUUACGGUUGCGAUUCAUCUCCUCUGAUUCGUUACGGGAUGAGGUGAAUCAUCGCCAUUAACAUCUUUGUUAACUCUUUGGACCUUAAUCCACUUGGCUACAUCCGCCCCUACUUGGGAGAUUACUCAUUCAUUGCUCCUUAUCUCCCUCACAGUCAGUGGAAUCUUGCUAUAUAAAGGUUUAGACCUUAUGCCUUGAACAACAUCCUCACCAUUCCUAAUACUAGAAAAACUUCCUUUAGUACAAUGGCUAAUUCAUUUGUUGUGUUUGCUGAUUUUAAAUUGCUGAUAAUAUGUUGUUAGAGAUGGGAAGAUCAUUACUUUCUUCUAAAUCAUUGGGAUCUUCGCAAACCGAUUGACCCGGAAUGGCAACCUUUUCCCAUCUGCUUGCGGCGUUGAAGGCAGGACGUUGUAACACCACCGUCAAAGUUCGGUAUCUUUAUCGACAUGCUCCUCCUAUUACCUGUGACCAGAAAACUUACUUAUUAAAGCAUUCAAUGCGAUCUUCACACAUGCAAAGAGGUGGAACUGCGACUAUAAAAGGGUAAGCUUUCCUACCAUAGUACCAUGAGAACCAUAUCCUCAUUCUGUUGAGACAAACCAGUAAUCUUAUUUUCAUCAAAAUGGCUAAAGAAACAGUAUUUCUUUCUGAUUUGAAGACGGGAUAAUGCUCCUCCACCGUUCAAGUGUGAUUGCUCCGUUUUUGGGAGGCCGGGAACGUCAGACGCGGUAUUGAACUCAUGGAGUGGAUAUGCCCACAGGUUUGUUCUGAUCCUCCAUUUGAUUUCAUAGCUUGAAAUUUUUUUAGUUAUAUUUUUUUACAUUUCCGUUAAGUUGAAUUUUUAUUACCAAGUGUUCCUGAUUAGAUCUUCACUGACUUCUGUUUAGGUUUAACGUCAGUGAAGGUUUUGAAAAUCUCACAGCUAUGAAUCUUCAUCAGUAAUUGUAUGUCUAUGUCGUUUAGCGUUGUUUGUUUUUCGAUUCAUCUUCUCUUAGGCGUUAAAACUUGCAUUGAUUCAUGUCAUUAACGAAGUCUUGGCUAUUUCGACCCACUGAACCACGAUAGCUCAUUCAGUGACUCUUAUCCCUCAUCAAUCAGUAAAUCUCCACUUGUAAAAAAGUAAGCCUCAUCCCUUGAAAAUCAUCUUCACAUUCCAAUAGCAAUAGAAAUUUUUCAAUAUAAUUUUUUUUAUAUGGAUUGACACCGACUAGGGUGUUUUGAAAAGGUUAGUGGAGGAGACGGUGGUGGUGGUAGCCAAUAUCAUGACGGCACUGAAACUGAUAGGAAGAAGAAACGUUACCAUCGUCACACCGCUCAACAGAUUCAACGACUUGAAUCGUAUUUUCUUCUCUCUUUUUUUUUUUUUUUUUUGAUUCAGACACUCUUAUAAUGGUUUGAAUCUCUUGCAGGAGUUUCAAGGAAUGUCCUCAUCCAGAUGAUAAGCAGAGGAACCAACUUAGCAGAGAAUUGGGUUUGGCUCCAAGACAAAUCAAGUUCUGUUCCAGAACAGAAGAACUCAGCUUAAGGUUAUGUGUCUUAAUCUCUCUCCCUUUUGUGUGUUUAAAAUGUUGUCUGAAUAAGAUAGUAGGCACAACAUGAGAGAGCAGAUAACAAUGCACUAAAGGCAGAGAACGACAAGAUUCGAUGUGAGAACAUAGCCAUUAGAGAAACACUCAAGCAUGUUAUAUGCCUUAACUGUGGAGGUCCUCCCGUUAGUGAAGAUCCUUACUUCGAUGAGCAUAAGCUCCGGAUUGAAAUGCACAUCUUAGAGACGAGCUUGAAAGUAUGUCAACGGUUGCAUGAAAGUACAUGGGAAGACCAAUCUCCUCCCUUCUCUCAACGCUACACCCAAUGCACAUCUCACCGUUGGAUCUGUCCAUGACUGGUGCUUCACUGGAUUUUGAUCUUCUUCCAGGUAGUUCUAUGCAUCCUCAGCCUAAUAAUUUCGUUACUAUAUCAGACAUGGACAAGCCUCUUAUGAACGACAUUGCUUUGACUGCGAUGGAAGAACUGCUUAGGCUUUUUUUAACACAAACGAACCUCUCUGGACUAGAGCUGAUGGUGGCGGCGGUAGAAGCGUUCUAAACUUGAUGCUCAGGUUUAUGUGUUUGCAGAGUUUGACUAUGAAACCGGUGCUGGUCAAUGCUUCCUCAGUAAGUAAGAUGCUCAAAUAAUAGUGUGUUAGUUACGAUCAUGAAAAGCAACAAAAUCAUGGUCUUUAGAUUCUCAAUGGUGCAUGUAUGAUAGUAUUUAAGUUCAGAAGAUUAUACAUAGACUGUCUCAGAUUUUUGAAGAAUUAUACAAUCAGUUUAUGGUUACAUGGUUUGAACCUCUCACACUAAUUAUAUAUUUGUCCAUCAGGCUCA